UGGGGAAUAUUGCGCAAUGGGGGCAACCCUGACGCAGCCAUGCCGCGUGAAUGAAGAAGGCCUUCGGGUUGUAAAGUUCUUUCGGUAGCGAGGAAGGCAUUUAGUUUAAUAGACUAGGUGAUUGACGUUAACUACAGAAGAAGCACCGGCUAACUCCGUGCCAGCAGCCGCGGUAAUACGGAGGGUGCGAGCGUUAAUCGGAAUAACUGGGCGUAAAGGGCACGCAGGCGGUGACUUAAGUGAGGUGUGAAAGCCCCGGGCUUAACCUGGGAAUUGCAUUUCAUACUGGGUCGCUAGAGUACUUUAGGGAGGGGUAGAAUUCCACGUGUAGCGGUGAAAUGCGUAGAGAUGUGGAGGAAUACCGAAGGCGAAGGCAGCCCCUUGGGAAUGUACUGACGCUCAUGUGCGAAAGCGUGGGGAGCAAACAGGAUUAGAUACCCUGGUAGUCCACGCUGUAAACGAUGUCGAUUUGGGGGUUGAACUUUGAGUUUGGCGCCCGUAGCUAACGUGAUAAAUCGACCGCCUGGGGAGUACGGCCGCAAGGUUA
rnacentral:rRNA from 1 species